UACUAGAGUAGCACUCGCAUAUCAAUAAGCGGAGGAAAAGAAACUAACAAGGAUUCCCUUAGUAACGGCGAGUGAAGCGGGAAGAGCUCAAAUUUGAAAUCUUCAAGGUUUUACCUUGACGAAUUGUAGUUUAUAGAAGUGUUUUCUGUUGAAGUUUGGGUAAAAGUUCUUUGGAAUAGGACAUCAUAGAGGGUGAGAAUCCCGUAUUUGACCAUUAUUUUCAGCUGUGUGAUACACUUUCAAAGAGUCGGAUUGUUUGGGAAUGCAGUCCAAAAUGGGUGGUAAAUUUCAUCUAAAGCUAAAUAUUGGCGAGAGACCGAUAGCGAACAAGUACCGUGAGGGAAAGAUGAAAAGAACUUUGAAAAGAGAGUUAAACAGUACGUGAAAUUGUCAAAAGGGAAGCGUUUGACACCAGUGUUGUUUUUCCGAAAAUCAAUUACGAAUGUUUUAUUUUUGAGGAGUUAUGACUUCAUCGGCUUGCUCCUUUCUUUAUGAAACUUUCUUAAUGCACUUUUCGGUUAACAAGUCAACAUCAAUUUCUUUUGUUGUAAAAGGGUAUGAGGAAGGUGGCUUUCUUUUCGGAGAAAGUGUUUAUAGCCUUGUGCCUCUGCAAUCGGAGAGAUUGAGGUCUGCAGCGUAGAUCCUUCGGGGUUAGAUACGUUUGUGCUAAGUUAUAGCUUUUCAUAGACAACUUGUUGACUAUAUUUAGUCUUGUAGGCUUACUCGCUGAUGCUAUUUUACCUACGCUUAGGAUGUUGAUAGUCACAGCGUGUAC
rnacentral:rRNA from 1 species